rnacentral:rRNA from 1 species
GACAGAGGGUGCAAACGUUGUUCGGAAUUACUGGGCGUAAAGCGAGUGUAGGCGGUUUGGAAAGUCGGAUGUGAAAGCCCCGGGCUCAACCCGGGAAGUGCACUCGAUACUCCCAAGCUAGAGUAUUGGAGAGGUUGGCGGAAUUCUCGGUGUAGAGGUGAAAUUCGUAGAUAUCGAGAGGAACACCGGCGGCGAAGGCGGCCAACUGGACAAAUACUGACGCUGAGACUCGAAAGCGUGGGGAGCAAACAGG